rnacentral:rRNA from 1 species
GAAGUUCUCUCGCUAAGUACGCACACUCGGGUCUGGCAGCAGGACCCUUGCUCAGGAGCGCCUGAAGUCAAGCAAGACCACCCGCUGAACUUAAGCAUAUUACUAAGCGGAGGAAAAGAAACUAACCAGGAUUGCCUCAGUAACUGCGAGUGAAGCGGCAACAGCUCGUCUUGAAUCGCCUCACGGCGAUAUGUGAGUCACGGCCUUACGUGGGGGAUGACGCGCAACUCGGCUGGAACGCCGGACCAAGGAGGGUGCUAGUCCCGUACCGCGUCGACCUCUGCGGUAGGCUGUGUUGAGCGAGUCGGGCAGUUUGGGAUUGCUGUCCUAACGGGAGGUAGACUCCUUCCAAAGCUAAAUAUCGACAGGAGACCGAUAGCGCACAAGUACUGUGAAGGAAAGAUGAAAAGCACUUUGAAAAGAGAGUUAAAAGACUUGAAAUCGCUGAGGAGGAAGCAGUGCGUACAGCGCAGGAGCCAGUGCAAGGGGACUCACGAGUCCCUGGAAGCUGUCCCGCUGCAGAGUGCAGUGGGUUCUGCGUGAGGCUCUAGGCUGUGUGUCUGGAAGUCUGCGCUAGCCCGCUGAAGGCGCUCCGGCGACUCUGCCGCUGUGCGCACUGACCCGUCUUGAAACACGGACCAAGGAGUCCAACAUGCGUGCGAGUAGGAGGGUGCACACCCCACUGCGCAACGAAAGUGAACCUGUCAAGCAGGGCCGCGUCGAGCGAGCUCAGCAGGCAUGUUGGGACCCGAAAGAUGGUGAACUAUGCUUGGGAAUGGCGAAGCCAGGGGAAACUCUGGUGGAGGCUUGUAGAGAUACUGACGUGCAAAUCGUUCUUCUAACCUGAGUAUAGGGGCGAAAGACUAAUCGAACCAUCUAGUAGCUGGUUCCCUCCGAAAUUUCCCUCAGGAUAGCUGGCGCCAUGCAGUUGUGCCGGGUAAAGCGAAUGACUAGAGGCAGGGAGUUGUAACAACUUUCACCUAUUCUCAAACUUUGAAUCGGCACGAAAGGGGAGUUGCUUCGCUGAACUCCCCUGCGAAUGCAGGCGCCAAGUGGGCCAUUUUUGGUAAGCAGAACUGGCGACGAGGGCUGAACCUAGGGCGAGGUUAAGGCGACUAAUUGGCCGCUCAUCAGACCCCAGAAAAGGCGUUAGUUCAUUUAGACAGUAGGACGGUGGCCAUGGAAGUCGGAACCCGCUAAGGAGUGUGUAACAACUCACCUACCGAAUGGACUAGCCCUGAAAAUGGAUGUCGCUAAGCAGCCAGCCGAUACCUCGCUGUGCGUCUUGUCUGGACGCACAGGUAGGAGGGCGUGAGGGCCGCGGCGAAGUGCGCGUGAGAACGCGUGUGGAGCGACCUUCAGUGCAGAUCUUGGUGGUAGUAGCAAGUAUUCAAAUGAGAACUUUGAAGACUGAAGUGGAGCAGGGUUUCAUGUGAACAGCACUUGGACAUGAGUCACUCGGUCCUGAGUCCAGGGGGAGUCCCGCGAAGACACUGUCCAGGACGAAAGGGAAUGAGGUUAAUAUUCCUCAAGCAGGCGUUGGGUGCUUAGUGGCAACACAAACGAACUCAAAGACGUCGGGGCGAGGUCCCAGGGAGAGUUCUCUUUUCUUCUUAACAAGUCGCUGCCUUGGAGGUCAUUGCGACGAGAGAAGGCUACAGACUUGGAAGAGCAGCACACCCUGAGUGCUGUCUGGUGCGCCUCCCACGGCCCUUGAAAAUUUGAGGGAAGAACUGCACGCCUGACCGUACCGAAACCGCAGCAGGUCUCCGAGGUUAGCAGCCUCUAGUCCGUAGAACAAUGUAGAUAAGGGAAUUCGGCAAACUGGAUCUGUAACUUUGGGAAAAAGAUUGGCUCUGAGGGCUAGGUCGGAGGCCCCGGUUCGUUUCGUGGAGUUCUGCGAGCUGUUGGCAACUUCGGUGAGUGGAAUGAAGCGAGACAGCCGGUAAGUCGAAGACAGCGAAUAGCCGCCUCAGAACUGGAGCAGCGAGAGGAAUCCGACUGUUUAAUUAAAACACAGCAUUGUGAGGGCCUGAAAAGGUGUUGACACAAUGUGAUUUCUGCCCAGUGCUCUGAAUGUCAACGUGAAGAAAUUCAAACAAGCGCGGGUAAACGGCGGGAGUAACUAUGACUCUCUUAAGGUAGCCAAAUGCCUCGUCAUCUAAUUAGUGACGUGCAUGAAUGGAUUAACGAGAUUCCUACUGUCCCUAUCUACUAUCUAGCGAACCCACAGCCAAGGGAACGGGCUUGGCGCAAUCAGCGGGGAAAGAAGACCCUGUUGAGUUUGACUCUAGUCUGGCUUUGUGAAAUGGCGUAGGAGGUGUAGCCAAGUGGGAGCCUUGCGAUCUUGAAAAACCACUACUCUUGAUGUCAUUUUACUUACCCCGUUGGGUUGAAGCCGCUCUGCGGUUCUAGCCUUACAAUCAACGCGGGAGACAGAGCCAGGUGGGGAGUUUGGCUGGGGCGGCACAUCUGUUAAAAGGUAACGCAGGUGUCCUAUGGCAAGCUCAGAGAGAACAGAAAUCUCUUGUCGACCAAAAGGGGAAAAGCUUGCUUGAUUUUGAUUCUCAGUACGAAUGCAAACUGUGAAAGCAUGGCCUAUCGAUCCUUUGCUUUUUACGAGUCUUAAACCAGAGGUGUCAGAAAAAUUACCACAGGGAUAACUGGCUUGUGGCAGCCAAGCGUUCAUAGCGACGUUGCUUUUUGAUCCUUCGAUGUCGGCUCUUCCUAUCAUUGUGACGUGAGACAGGUUAGUUUUACCCUACUGAUGAACGAUGUCGCUACAGUAAUCCAACUUAGUACGAGAGGAACAGUUGGUUCAGAUCACUGGUCACUGCGAUUUCCUGACAAGGAAGUGUCGCCAAGCUACCAUCUGCUUGAUUAUGACUGAACGCCUCUAAGUCAGAAUCCAUGCUGGAACGCGACGUCCUCCAGUCGCCUAUGGAACCACUAACCGCAUUCCGCACCCUGUCCUCUUAACUUCCGCAAUGGAGGAGCGGAGAACAGGCUUCACCCGCGGCGACUGGGACAAAUCCUCUGUAGACCACUCAAACGGAAAGAGGGAUUGUACGUACGAGAGUAAGCUUGUCUUACGAUCUACUGAG